UACGUAGGGGGCAAGCGUUGUCCGGAUUUAUUGGGCGUAAAGAGCUCGUAGGCGGUCUGUCGCGUCUGCUGUGAAAACUCAGGGCUUAACCCUGAGCUUGCAGUGGGUACGGGCAGACUAGAGUGCGGUAGGGGAGACUGGAAUUCCUGGUGUAGCGGUGAAAUGCGCAGAUAUCAGGAGGAACACCCGUGGCUAAGGCGGCUCUCUAGUACGGUACUGACGCUGAGACGCGAAAGCGUGGGGAGCGAACAGG
rnacentral:rRNA from 1 species